UUACAGGAACUGCAAUUGCAGGCACUGGGAAGUAAAAACAAAAGAAGAUAUUUAAUUAAGUCUUGGAAAGAGUGAAGAAGUAAAACUAAGGAAAGAUGAAUUCCGGAGAUGGCUGUGGAGCGAAUCGCGAGCUGCCGUCAACGUCGAAACGGCAAUCCGAAGAUUCGGAGAAAGAACCUCCCAGGAAAAGAGUGGAAGCUUGUCACGACGCAUCUGGGGAAAUGAAACUCCAUCGCGCCAUCCAAUGCAGCGACCGGUGCGCAACUCUGGCAAUCUCAACGGCCGAACCGAAAGACUUUGGCAUGCAAGAUGAGGGAGGGCGG